CAGUCUGAGGACAAAGCAGAAGAGUAAAGUCGCUGUCACAAGAAGCAGCUAAGUGACACCAAACACAAAGCAAUCAUCAUUCCUUGCCUAUGUCCCACACACGGUUCAUACCUAGAUUACCCAAAUUCUUGCACUGACCAAGAAAUCAAUGCAACAACAGUUCCAGAAUCAACGAAUAGGGUCAUCUCCAUAACCCAGUGGGACACUUAGAGGAUGAUUCCUGACAAAGUUGUGCUCAAAAAAUUAUAACAUACAAAACAUACUCUGAGAAAUGGUCAGCAGAAGGAGAGAAACAUCACUUGAAGGGGUUACAUGGAAAAGGGAUUCUACAAAGGGCUUUUAAAUAAUGUUUACAACAGAUGUAUAUGUUCUAUAAGUAAAAAACAGAGUCAUUGGUAUAAGACCUCUAUAGGCAGGUUAAGCAGCAAACUAGACACAGGUGAAGAGAGACUCAGUGAACUGAAGGCAGCGCUGAGAAAAUCAUCCAAAAUUCAGCACAGAGAGCUAAAGAGGUCCAGGGAAGGGUUGCUGGAGAUUGAGUGGAGACAUUAGAGUUAAGACCCAAUGACCAGGGAGAUCCAGCCAUGAAAAGAAAUGAGGCUGAGGCUCCUAGGCAUGGAGGCAGACAAGCACAGCAGGAGAGGUUGUGUGCCUGCUGUGUGCGAAGGUGAUGAGGCGAAGAGGACGCUUGAGACCAGCCCAGAAGUGGGGCUCCCGGGAGCCAUGCUCCAGCCGGUGCAGAGGCCUUCCUGAGAGUGAGAGCUGACCUUCUGCACACUCACUCACGGGUUCCCUGCCAAGCGCCCACUGUGGGCCAGGCCCUGUGCUCAAGGCCAUGGGGAAUGCUGAGACGAGUAAAACCCAGACACCUGUCCUCAAGGGCCACUCCUUGAGUGCGCCAACAGACCAGCAAGUUCAAUGCCCAAGGAAUCCGCAAGCUGGCUUAGAAGAGGAGGAGUGGGGAGUGGGGUCAGGGAAGGAGCCCCUUAGAGACCUGAUGGAGGGAGGCAUGGGAUGGGCUUCUCAAGAGGGCUGGAGAGCUCUCUGCUCUGCAGUAUGGGUGGCAGAGGGGACACCCACAUCUGAAGGAGCACCCAACCUGUGCCCUCCAGGGUCCUCGCCAACCCCACGGCAUGAGGCAGUCUGGAACCUCGGCAGGCAUUUCUGCACCUGGGCAGGUGAGACCAGCCGCAGCCUCACCUGGCAGUCGGACGGAGGAAGCGAGCAUUUCAGACCCUUGAAGACAAGAGCUCCUCCAGGAGAGCACACAGCCAACAGGAGAGCAGCACCGACGUGGCUGUCCCGACACCUCCGCUCACCCACCCCCAGGCCAGGCAGCUCGGGGAAGCAUGGGACAUGGGAAGGUCACACCUGGGGACCUUCAUCACCACCUUUUCUCUCCCUCUGAUCUGACCACCCAGACUCCAGCAAGACCCACGGAACACCCUGCGACUGCAGCCAGCCCGCCUCUGCCCGCUGGUCUCUGGAAUUCAGGCCUCUCCACAUCCUGCAGCAGCCUCGGGGCCUCCCGCAGACCCAGCACCGCAGCCAUCCCUCCAGCCGUGGUGCCAGGUGCCUGGGGUGGAAGGGCACACACGCCAGCCACCAAGGGCAGGCACCGCUGGCACGGGGGCAGGCUCCUGGGCCGUCUCCAGUGCCUUUCUCUUCUUGGGGUUCGGGAGCCUCCAUUUCCACCGCACUUCUUCAGGCGCAGUUGCUGGGCCAGAAAUGCCGUGCUCUUCAAGCGUCUCUCAUCCAGUGUGAAAUCCAGGUCCACCAAGUGCUCCAAUCACGGUGCAGGCCCAGCAUGUGCUCCCUGGAGCUCCCAGCCCUCAGGACAGAGGACAGCCCAGCAUCACAGGAGACCAGAGCCCUGGAGAGGAGAUCCUGGAGGCUGUGGCCGAGGAGGGUUAUGAGGGAGCCCCAAGAGGCACCUGUUCUGGGGGACCUGACACAAAGGAGUGAGCCCAGGGCUCCAGAAAGGUAGACCAGCAGGGCAAGGCAGGAGAGCCACAUGUUACAGGACACAGCCCCAGAGGACGCCUCCCUGUUCUGGCCGCUGCACCAGUCCUGGACAGGACAGUCACAUGGAAUCCUCAUGACUCUAGGAUGCAUGUUUAUCAUGUUCCCAUUUACAGAGGAGGAUGCGGAGAUGCAGAGAAAUGUCCCCAAGGUCCCAUAGUAGGUGGUGGCGGCACUGGGAUUUUAAAGCAGACAUGCCAGAGUCCAGGACCCAUGCCCCGAGCAAGGCCCAGAGGGACAGUGUGGAAACAGCCCCAUGUGCCCAGGAAACUGCCUGCAAGAGCCAGAGAGAGGCGGGUCCUGAGCAGGGACCCUCUGCUCAUGUGAUUCCCAUUGACAGCACCUGGUUCCAAGGCACUUCCUGGGGACAGUCAGCACUUUCUGGCAGGGACAGGGAAUCAAGUGCAAAACUCAUGAUUUUUUUUUUAAAAUA